ACGCUCGACACCUACGGGGGCAGCAGUGGGGAAUAUUGCACAAUGGGGGAAACCCGUGAUGCAGCGACGCCGCGUGGAGGAAGAAGGUCUUCGGAUUGUAAACUCCUGUUGUUGGGGAAAAAGAGGAUGGUACCCAACAAGGAAGUGACGGCUAACUACGUGCCAACAGCCGCGGUAAUCUGAGCGGGCGUGGCGAAGGACG
rnacentral:rRNA from 1 species